GGUUAAGCGACUAAGCGUACACGGUGGAUGCCCUGGCAGUCAGAGGCGAUGAAGGACGUGCUAAUCUGCGAUAAGCGUCGGUAAGGUGAUAUGAACCGUUAUAACCGGCGAUUUCCGAAUGGGGAAACCCAGUGUGAUUCGUCACACUAUCAUUAACUGAAUCCAUAGGUUAAUGAGGCGAACCGGGGGAACUGAAACAUCUAAGUACCCCGAGGAAAAGAAAUCAACCGAGAUUCCCCCAGUAGCGGCGAGCGAACGGGGAGCAGCCCAGAGCCUGAAUCAGUGUGUGUGUUAGUGGAAGCGUCUGGAAAGGCGCGCGAUACAGGGUGACAGCCCCGUACACAAAAAUGCACAUGCUGUGAGCUCGAUGAGUAGGGCGGGACACGUGGUAUCCUGUCUGAAUAUGGGGGGACCAUCCUCCAAGGCUAAAUACUCCUGACUGACCGAUAGUGAACCAGUACCGUGAGGGAAAGGCGAAAAGAACCCCGGCGAGGGGAGUGAAAAAGAACCUGAAACCGUGUACGUACAAGCAGUGGGAGCACAGAGCAAUCUGUGUGACUGCGUACCUUUUGUAUAAUGGGUCAGCGACUUAUAUUCUGUAGCAAGGUUAACCGAAUAGGGGAGCCGAAGGGAAACCGAGUCUUAACUGGGCGUUAAGUUGCAGGGUAUAGACCCGAAACCCGGUGAUCUAGCCAUGGGCAGGUUGAAGGUUGGGUAACACUAACUGGAGGACCGAACCGACUAAUGUUGAAAAAUUAGCGGAUGACUUGUGGCUGGGGGUGAAAGGCCAAUCAAACCGGGAGAUAGCUGGUUCUCCCCGAAAGCUAUUUAGGUAGCGCCUCGUGAAUUCAUCUCCGGGGGUAGAGCACUGUUUCGGCAAGGGGGUCAUCCCGACUUACCAACCCGAUGCAAACUGCGAAUACCGGAGAAUGUUAUCACGGGAGACACACGGCGGGUGCUAACGUCCGUCGUGAAGAGGGAAACAACCCAGACCGCCAGCUAAGGUCCCAAAGUCAUGGUUAAGUGGGAAACGAUGUGGGAAGGCCCAGACAGCCAGGAUGUUGGCUUAGAAGCAGCCAUCAUUUAAAGAAAGCGUAAUAGCUCACUGGUCGAGUCGGCCUGCGCGGAAGAUGUAACGGGGCUAAACCAUGCACCGAAGCUGCGGCAGCGACGCUUAUGCGUUGUUGGGUAGGGGAGCGUUCUGUAAGCCUGUGAAGGUGUACUGUGAGGUAUGCUGGAGGUAUCAGAAGUGCGAAUGCUGACAUAAGUAACGAUAAAGCGGGUGAAAAGCCCGCUCGCCGGAAGACCAAGGGUUCCUGUCCAACGUUAAUCGGGGCAGGGUGAGUCGACCCCUAAGGCGAGGCCGAAAGGCGUAGUCGAUGGGAAACAGGUUAAUAUUCCUGUACUUGGUGUUACUGCGAAGGGGGGACGGAGAAGGCUAUGUUGGCCGGGCGACGGUUGUCCCGGUUUAAGCGUGUAGGCUGGUUUUCCAGGCAAAUCCGGAAAAUCAAGGCUGAGGCGUGAUGACGAGGCACUACGGUGCUGAAGCAACAAAUGCCCUGCUUCCAGGAAAAGCCUCUAAGCAUCAGGUAACAUCAAAUCGUACCCCAAACCGACACAGGUGGUCAGGUAGAGAAUACCAAGGCGCUUGAGAGAACUCGGGUGAAGGAACUAGGCAAAAUGGUGCCGUAACU
rnacentral:rRNA from 1 species